rnacentral:rRNA from 1 species
UAACGCGUGAGGAGCCUGCCUCAAAGAGGGGGACAACAGUUGGAAACGACUGCUAAUACCGCAUAAGCCCACAGCUCGGCAUCGAGUAGAGGGAAAAGGAGUGAUCCGCUUUGAGAUGGCCUCGCGUCCGAUUAGCUAGUUGGUGAGGUAAUGGCCCACCAAGGCGACGAUCGGUAGCCGGACUGAGAGGUUGAACGGCCACAUUGGGACUGAGACACGGCCCAG